GGUAGUGUGGCACAAUGGUUAGAGUGCCUGAUAAGGACUCGGGAGAGCAGGGUUCGAAUUCCCACUCCACCC